CCUACGGGAGGCAGCAGUAGGGAAUCUUCCACAAUGGGCGAAAGCCUGAUGGAGCAACGCCGCGUGGGUGAAGCAGGUCUUCGGAUCGUCAAACCCUGUUGUUAGAGAAGAAAGUGCGUGAGAGUAACUGUUCACGUUUCGACGGUAUCUAACCAGAAAGCCACGGCUAACUACGUGCCAGCAGCCGCGGUAAUCCGUAGGUGGCAAGCGUUAUCCGGAUUUAUUGGGCAUAAAGGUAACGCAGGCGGUCUUUUAAAUCUGAUGUGAAAGCCUUCGGCUUAACCGGAGGAGUGCAUUGGAAACUGGGAGACUUGAGUGAAGAAGAGGAGAGUGGAACUCCAUGUGUAGCGGUGAAAUGCGUAGAUAUAUGGAAGAACACCAGUGGCGAAAGCGGCUCUCUGGGCUGUAACUGACGCUGAGGUUCGAAAGCGUGGGUAGCAAACAGGAUUAGAUACCCCAGUAGUC
rnacentral:rRNA from 1 species